rnacentral:rRNA from 1 species
GAUGAACGCUGGCGGCGUGCCUAAUACAUGCAAGUCGAGCGAACAGACGAGGGGCUUGCUCCUUCGACGUUAGCGGCGGACGGGUGAGUAACACGUAGGUAACCUACCUAUAAGACUGGGAUAACUUCGGGAAACCGGAGCUAAUACCGGAUAAUAUUUCGAACCGCAUGGUUCGAUAGUGAAAGAUGGCUUUGCUAUCACUUAUAGAUGGACCUGCGCCGUAUUAGCUAGUUGGUAAGGUAACGGCUUACCAAGGCAACGAUACGUAGCCGACCUGAGAGGGUGAUCGGCCACACUGGAACUGAGACACGGUCCAGACUCCUACGGGAGGCAGCAGUAGGGAAUCUUCCGCAAUGGGCGAAAGCCUGACGGAGCAACGCCGCGUGAGUGAUGAAGGUCUUCGGAUCGUAAAACUCUGUUAUUAGGGAAGAACAAACGUGUAAGUAACUGUGCACGUCUUGACGGUACCUAAUCAGAAAGCCACGGCUAACUACGUG